ensembl:lncRNA
UAUAGCUCUAUCUAUAUAUCUGUCUCUCUCUCUCUAUAUAUAUAUAUAGUUAUAUAGCUCUAUCUAUAUAUCUGUAUGUAUUGUUUUUCUGUACCUUACCAUAUUGUACAUAUGCAGAUGAUGUGAACAGUGUCUUUAUUGUUUGAUUUAUGGAUGUCUUUACGUUCUACCUCUCCAGUCCCCCUUCUGUCUGUCAAUCAAUAUUGUUGUUGAUUUUAUGUUUAUUAUUGUUAUUAUUCUAUUGUUGUGGAAACAUUCCAGUGAAGGAAUUCCUGUUUAUUUGAAUGUAAAAAUAAUAUAAUUUGAAUGCAGGAAGCAGAAAGGGUUGAACUUUAUACUCUUAACUGUAUACAAGGGGGAACGAUAAUGUUUUUCACUCUGUGAUCUCAUCAUUUAUGACCAAAUACAUGUUUACUACUAUGCCACCAGGAAUUCGUUUCUGAAGAAAAUAGAAUAAACAAUGUGAUUAUCAUUAUAAAUUAAUGUGAUUAUCAUUAUAAAUUAAUGUGAUUAUCAUUAUAAAUUAAUGUGAAAUCAAACAUAUUUUUUGAUUUUUUAAAAUUAUUUUUUUUAGCUUACAGCAGUGGAGAAAUGUAGCCAACAAAAUUAUACUUGAAUCUAUUUAGUAAAUCUAAUUCUUAAAUGCAUUACUAUACUAGUCGGGAAAAAAUACUUGAUUUUAGAAUUUCGUUGUUAUUAGAAUGUUUUUUCCCCCAAGGUGGCAGUGCCCAAGGUGUCAGUGCCCAAGGUGGCAGUACCCAAGGUGUCAGUGCCCAAGGUGGCAGUACCCAAGGUGUCAGUAGUAACAACUAUCUCUGUCUUACAGUGUGAGAGCCGACCUGGUUCGGUCCUAUUCUGUAGAGGUGAGGUAGCUAGGGAAGUCCUCCUAUAGGAGACCUAGGACCACCCUGCCAUGACCAGAGAGACAGAGUCUGCAUCCCAAAAUGGCACCCUAUUUCCUAUAUAGUGCACUCGUCCCCAUAGGCCCUAGUCAAAAGUAGUGCACUGUAAAUGGAAUAGUGUGCCAUUUGGGAUGGAGCUUAUUGAUCUCAAAAUGUUAUUUUAUUCAUGUUGUUUUUUUCCUCAAAACAUUCCAAUCGCUUAACUCGUCUCGAAUGAUGUCAUCAUUGUGAUUGCAAAUGGCUGUUGUGAUUGUUGACAAUUGUUAUUGUUUUCUCGAUUUAAAUUUUUAUAAUGUUUUACCCUUUUUCUCAUGAUUUCUUGUUACGGUUUAAAUCUUCAAACAUGUUGAAUUAAUGAUGUCAUUUCCGUUUCGUUUGAUCAGUUGUGAAUUUGCACUUACCACUUCGAUCUGCUUGUGAGUGUACAGUAGAGUAUGUGGUGUGUGUGUGUCUGACUGUGUCGUAAUGCUGUAGUUUUCAGUCGGUUAGUGUGACCUCCGUAUGGCAACAGGUAGCCUAGUGGUUAAGAGUGUUUGGGCCAGUGACUGUGUCGUAAUGCUGUAGUUUUCAGUCGGUUAGUGUGACCUCCGUAUGGCAACAGGUAGCCUAGUGGUUAAGAGUGUUUGGGCCAGUAACCAAAAGGUUAUUGGUUCGAAUCCCUGAGCCGACUAGGGGAAAAACAUAUGUUGACGUUUCUUUGAGCGAAGCACUUAACCCUAACUGCUCUGGAUAAGAGCGUCUGCGAAAUGACUAACAUGUAUAUUUCUGUCUGAUUGGAUAAGAUGCUAAAUGACUAAUGUGUAUAUUUCUGUCUGAUUGGAACACCAAAAUAAGACAUUUUAGAGUAUAUAUAUAUAUAUAUAUAUACACUCUUCUUUUUUUUAAAGCACAAAGGAAUAUUAGGCACAAGAUCACAUCAAAACUCACUAUGAUACUAGUCAUACAAAGAUAAUAUCCUAUCACUGAAACACUAGACAACACAAGGCAAUGUGGGGGAGAGAGAGGAGAGAAACAGAGAGAGGGGGGGAGAGAGGUAAGAAACAGAGAGAGAAGGGAAAAGAUAAUAUCCUAUCACUGAAACACUAGACAACUCAAGGCAAUGUGGGGGAGAGAGAGGAGAGAAACAGAGAGAGAGGUAAGAAACAGAGAGAGAAGGGAAAAGAUAAUAUCCUAUCACUGAAACACUAGACAACUCAAGGCAAUGUGGGGGAGAGAGAGGAGAGAAACAGAGAGAGAGGUGAGAAACAGAGAGAGAAGGGAAAAGAUAAUAUCCUCUCACUGAAACACUAGACAACACAAGGCAAUGAGCUCUUGGUGUUGGAACAGUGUCAUCUUGGAAUGAGAAAUGCAUCAUUUUGAACACGGGGUAUCACACCAUGUAUUUACCAGUAGUAACUCUCUAAGACAGAGUCAGCUCUACAGAGACACCCGUAAGGCCUGGGGGCUGCUAUCACACCAUGUGUACCAGUAGUAACUCUCUAAGACAGAGUCAGCUCUACAGAGACACCCGUAAGGCCUGGGGGCUGCUAUCACACCAUGUGUACCAGUAGUAACUCUCUAAGACAGAGUCAGCUCUACAGAGACACCCGUAAGGCCUGGGGGCUGCUAUCACACCAUGUGUACCAGUAGUAACUCUCUAAGACAGAGUCAGCUCUACAGAGACACCCGUAAGGCCUGGGGGCUGUGAGACCUCUCUCUGUUCUCUGUAUUCCUCCAAGAGGAAAUGCUGUUGUGCUUUAAAGGACUUUGAGGGCUCCAUCCAAUCCGUACCGCGGUAGUUCAGCGCUAUGCUGGGAUUGAAAUGUGAUGGUUUACCAUGAAUGCAUUAUUUCACGAAUUAGGGAACAUUGCCUUUUUAAAUUUCAAUUGCGCUAUAGUGCUGAAUUUACGCAAUACAGUUACAAUGCAUCAUCCCUAAAUAUAACAUGACAAUGGACUGACAGAGGGGGUGUCCCUACACAACGCCCCACACCCCCACUAAUGUCAGUCCCUACACAACGCCCCACACCCCCUAUAAUGUCAGUCCCUCUAAUGUCAGUCCCUACACCACACCCCCUCUGUCAGUCCCCACACCCCCUCUGUCAGUCCCUACACAACGCCCCACACCCCCACUAAUGUCAGUCCCUACACAACGCCCCACACCCCCUAUAAUGUCAGUCCCUCUAAUGUCAGUCCCUACACCACACCCCCUCUGUCAGUCCCCACACCCCCUCUGUCAGUCCCUACACAACGCCCCACACCCCCACUAAUGUCAGUCCCUACACAACGCCCCACACCCCCUCUAAUGUCAGUCCCUCUAAUGUCAGUCCUUACACCACACCCCCUCUGUCAGUCCCCACACCCCUCUGUCAGUCCCUACACCCCCUCUGUCAGUCCCUACACCCCCUCUGUCAGUCCCUACACCCCCUCUGUCAGUCCCCACACCCCCUCUGUCAGUCCCUAAACCCCCUCUGUCAGUCCCUACACCCCCUGUCAGUCCCUACACCCCCUCUGUCAGUCCCUACACCCCUCUGUCAGUCCCUACACCCCUGUCAGUCCCUACACCACACCCCCUCUGUCAGUCCCUACACCCCCUCUGUCAGUCCCUACACCCCCUCUGUCAGUCCCCACACCCCCUCUGUCAGUCCCUACACCCCAUAAGAAGAUGAAGAAAAUGAAAAACACAAAUAAGAUGAUAUUGUAUUCCCUGUUAUUCACUGUUUGCUGUUUAAUAAAAUGAGAUGUCCUA